CCCGCGCCCGCCGGGCCGAGGUGGGAUCCCGAGGCCUCUCCAGUCCGCCGAGGGCGCACCCCGGCCCGUCUCGCCCGCCGCGCCGGG
rnacentral:miRNA from 1 species